UACUAGAGGGGAAAGUGAAAUUUAUAAGUAAUAUAGUAUAUUUUUUUUUACAAAAGUAAGAAUUGUUGUAUAACUAGAGAGGUCAAAUGUGUAAAUUAGAAUAUUAAGGUUAUAUUGUAAAUAGAUUAUAGUCUAUGAAACAUUAGAAAUAAAUUAGGAUUAGAUACCCUGUUAUUCUAAUAAGAAGUUUAAAAUACUUAAGUAGUAAAUAGUUAUGAACUAGAAACUUAAAGAAUUUGGCGGUGUUUUAGUCUCGUUAGAGGAGGUUGCUCUGUAAACGAUAAAACGCGCAAAAUCUUUCUUCUUUUUGUAAUUACAGUUUGUAUACCGUCAUUAUGAGUAUUUUGUAAAAAUAAAUAUUAAGAUAAAUUAAUUAUUUAAAAUAUUAGAUCAAGGUGCAGCUUAUAAAGAAGUGUGAGGUGAGCUACAAUAAUAUUUGAUUUAAAUGGAUUUAAAAUUGAAAGUUUUAUUGAAAGUGGAUUUAAAAGUAAUUAUAUUUUAAUAGGGUAUGAUGAAGUUGAGCUCUGAAAUACGUACAAAUCGCCCGUCACUCUCGCUUUUAAUAAAAAUGU
rnacentral:rRNA from 1 species